UUCUAAACUGCUAGAAGCAUGUGCCUCUACUGAAAAAGCAGGAAUAAAAGAACAAUUUUAAGAAAAGAAUGUUGUCAACAUAAGAGAGGACAAGAUAGGCAGCUAUGCCAAAUCUGACAGUCUGAUUUUACAAUUUGGUGAAAGAAGAUUUGAAAAAACGGGAAAAUUGGAAAAUUCUUAUUCCCAUAUUUCUUGUCGUAUGCGCGAGUUGGCUAGAUUGGCUAUAGCCAUGACAAAGAAUUACCCGCAUAUAGACAAUUUAACAAAAUGCAUUCAGUCAAUCAUGUGGACCCCCCUUCUUGAAACAAUAAAAAAUGUUGCAGUGUUCGAAGCAAGGGCCUGUUCUUAUGCGUCACCGUCUUACAUGGAAAAAAUAGGAAGUAGUUUAAAAAAAAUUGCCAAAAUGCUUUGCACAAAAGCAUCAGAGGUGGAAGAUGGGGAGCAGGAAGAGAGAAUGUCCCGAUUUAUAAAAUGUUACGAUGACAAAUAUCCUGAAAGAAUGGUCUUUAUGGCCAAAGAAUCAAUGGCUAUUGAAAGGUUUAAUAACCAAAAACUUCUACCCAUCGUCGAGGAUGUUGUUAAGCUGAACACUUACCUCCAAAAUGAAGCCAGCAUAUUAAGAUCCAGUGCACCAACUGAUCUCAGUACCCCAGCUGAUCUCAAAGAGAUUUAUUCUUCACUUUGCAAAGUUUCCUUAGCAGAGGUAAUACUUUUGAACCGAAAGAGAUCCGGAGAGGCGGAAAGACUGAAAACGGAAGAUUUUGUAAAGGGCUCUGUUAAUGACGUAGUGGAUAAAGAUAUAUCACAAACAUUAAGCAAAUUCGAAAGGCAUUUGUGUAAAUCUCAUUUUAGGAUAGAGACGCGGGGAAAAAGCCUCAAACGAGGCAGGCGAGUAUCAAUCCCGCUAACAAAAGAGAUGAAGGAAAACCUGGACACACUACUUAGAUUGCAGUCUAAGCUGCAAAUAGAGUCUUAGUACGUAUUCAUGAGACUAAGUGGAAGAAAGCCAUACAGAGGCGACUGCGAAAGCAAAGGUCACACAUGCUUCAUGAAUAACUUCAACAAGUUUACGCAAACAAUUGGCAACUUUGUCACAAAUUUUGAAUCUUACAGAAAGCAGCCAAGACAUACUUGCCACGUUUAUGGGUCACGAUAUACGUACACAUAGGGAAUACUAUAGACUACCAGAAGGGACACUAGAAGUUGCAAAAUUUUCCAAGAUCCUACAUCAAUUGAAUAUAGGAAAAAUCACACAGACAGAUGCUGCACAACUUUAUGGAAACCAAACCAUAAUUGACGAGGAAACAACAGUAAGCGAUGAGGAAGCUUCAAGUGAUGAGGAUGUUGAAGAAUCCGAUGACCAGCAUGAUGAAGAAAAUAGAGAAGGUGUUCUUUCAGCUAACUCAAAACCUGCUGUGUCUGGGUUUCAACUUCACAUAUGGAUAUCAAGGAGCAGGGUAUGACACAGAUGAUAAUGAUGAUGAUAUGGGUGAUCCAGAUUAAAUUUACAAUAAAAGAAAGCUCGCUCCAGACAGUGAAGACUCGGAUGAGGACUUAAAAAAGGCAAACAAAGAAAAAGAGAUAUAACAGUGGUAAAAAGAAGUGGACGCCGCAGGAACAACGAGUUGUGAUGAGUGAAUUUGACAAAUAUAUGCAUCUUUACAAAUUGCCUGGGAAGUCUGAAUGCGAGAAAUUGCUAAAAGAAAACCCGUGUUUAAGUAGAAGAAGUUGGAGAAAUAUUAAAGACUUCGUUAGAAAUAAGACAAAGACAUUUAUCAAGCAUCAGGAAAAUUAAAAUGACUGAGGAAAGAACAAGAUGCUGUAGAUUUAAAUGCUGUAACUGGCAAUUUGCAAAAGUGUUUUGAUUGGAAACAAUCCAAAACUGACGAUAUCCUUAUGUAACAGUAAACAAUAUAUAACACUUUUUAACAAACAUUUGUUGAUUAGGCUGCUUGAAAUUUUAACUAUAAAGUUAUAUUGUGAAACGAAUUUUGUCCAUGUUUCAUAUUCUGUAGGGAAAGUAUCGUUUCAGAAAUGGAGUAUGCUCAAUUUUUAAUUUUAAUAUAAAGUUAAGUCAUCGCAGUCUCGUUGAAGACAUUUUAUAAACAUGUUUGGCGACUGUCAUUUUUAAUAAAACAUACAUGCAUGUUUUUUAAUUGCGGUUAUCAUUAUGCCUUAAAUAUAUCCAACACAAUUUCAAACCCUUUUGGGUAGAUGUCUAAAAAUGCUUUUCAAUUUAUUGUAGUAAAUUAGAAGUAAAAGCAGAAGAAUUGUUGUAUUAUCCACUUUUUUAUAAUCCAAAUAUAUUGAUAGGAACUCAAACUUUUACCUUAAGUCAUGCUUUGAUGCUUGAAUUCACUGUAUAGGUGAUGUAUUCAAAAAUGGAACCUUUACUUCUGUAGAUGAAUUGAGUGAAAUGUACAAUUUAAAAAUAAAUUGCUUUGAUUAUUUAGGGGUGACAAGAGCAAUAGAUAAAUUUGUGAAAAAAUAAUUGUUUACCCUGUCCUACCCAACAAAUGAUAAAACCCUUUUUCCCCAAUUUUUACAUCUCCUAUUAAAAAACUAAUCAGGUGCUAAAAGACUAUAUAAUAUUGUAAAUAAGAACAAUGAACAACCUUCAGUUAAAGCAAAUGGGGUAUAAAACUCAAUACCAUAAUUAAUGAAAAUGAAUGGAACUGCAUUUUUGAACUACCCUUUAAAUAUUUAUGUACGCUGGCAAAUGUCUUUAUUUUGAAAAUGUACAUAUUUUUGCUUUUUUAUGCUUUCUAUUCAUCUGAAUUUGCAUAUACUAAUUUCUUAUUACAAUUUAUUCAUACUUUUAAUAUGUUUAUAUACUGAAAUAUCUAGAUUUUUACUUUUGUUCUCUAUAAAUACUUUUUAAUGUUUUUCCAACACACAAUUGCAUGCAACUGUCUUAUAGUUACAGCAUUGUUUUCAGUUUGUAAACUCUGAAUGUAUGUUGACAUGAAGCUGUGUUUUUUCUCUUGUAAAUACUUGUUAUGUAAAAGCUUACAAAGACAUGAUAUGGUUUGUGAUUUUGUUUAUAAACAAAAGUAAUAUAUACACUCUUAAGAGUAUAAUUUAUAAAUUAUAUGAUAAGCUUUUGUAGAAUAUUUAAGAAAACAAUUAAACAUGGUCUAAGGCAUUACGCGUUUGCUCUAGAUGCUGUGUAUUAUGUGUCAGUCAUUCUGUCAUCUAUGAUAAAGGUACGGUGUGUUUUUAUGCCCCCUGAUCGAAUGAUCGGGGAUAUAUUGAUUUUGGCCUGUCUGUAUGUCAUCUAUUCAUUGAUUCAUUCAUUGGGUGUGUCCCAAAACUUUAACAUUGGUCAUAACUUUUGCAAUAUUGAAGGUAAUAACUUGAUAUUUGGCAUUCUUGUGUAUCUCAUGGAGCUGCAGAUUUUGAGUGGUGAAAGGUCAAGGUCAUCCUUCAAGGUCAAAGGUCAAAUAUAUGGCCUCAAAGCUGCGUAGUAGGCGGCAUUUUGUUUCUGACAAACAUAUCUUUUGUUUUCAAACUUCUAUGCAAAUUGCUUUGUAUUUGUAUGUCACUGUCUACAACCAUAUAUAUAUAAAGUAUGACACUGUGAUAUUAAUUGUUUUGCAUGUGUACUUUUGUAUGUCACUGUCUAUAAUAAUAUGAGCCGUGUUCUGAGAAAACUGGACAUAAUGCAUGUGCGUAAAGUGUCGUCCCAGGCUAAUCUGGGACGACACUUUACCCACAUGCAUUAUGCCCAGUUUUCUCAGAACGCGACUCAUAUGAAAGUUUGUGUUGCAUAUGUACAUAUAUAUGUAACUGUUUGCCUGUCUUGUAAUAAAACGUGUUGGGGGAAAAAAUAUACAUGUAUGCAUGUAUGUUGCUUUAUUAUGUCUUUGCACAUGUACUCUUGUGAACAAUUAUUUUGUACAUGUGUAAGAUGUGACUUCUAAAAUAAAUAACAUGUUCUUCA